rnacentral:rRNA from 1 species
GACGUAGGUGGCGAACGUUAUCCGGAUUUAUUGGGCGUAAAAGGAUGCGUAGACGGUAAAAAACAAGUUACUACUUGACGUCGAGCUCAACUUGACUGAAAAAUUUAGUAAAUACUAUUUUUUGCUAGAGAUUUGGGGAGAAAGUUUGAUGGAAAAAUCUAUGUGGAGGGGGGUGAAAAAUCCGUUUGAUCUAUAGAGUACCCACCCAAAAAAGGCGAAGGGCAAAUUUGACUAUUUCCCAUUUUCUGACGUUUGAGGCAUGAAAAGCGUGGGGGAGCAAAACCGG